CCGGACGUGACCUCGCGGGCGCGCGCCGGGAGCCGCCAGACUGGGCGCCGACAGCAUCCUCCGGGGGUAGGCGCCCACAGUCAUUCUUUCCAUCGCUGCGGACACGGGAGUCAGAAGUGAAACAGUCCUGUCCUCGUGGGGCUUACGUUCCAGGCGCAAGAGCCACAGGUAGUCGAAUUGGGAAACCGCCUCGGAUGUCACAUAAGCGCCCAGGGAGGACAGGGCAGGACAGGGCCUCCCUGGGGAGGUGACUUGAGUCAAGACUCAAAAGAGGGAAGCGAGGGAACAAGCCAUGCGAGGAACUAACGAAGGAACAUUCCAGAAAGAUUUCACAUCCCAAGCCUAAGGUCCAGGGGCAGCAGGCAUUGAGGCGGAUGUGGCUGGAGUGGAGAGAAAGAGGAAUUAAAAGGAUGGAGUAAUGACAA
rnacentral:lncRNA from 1 species